rnacentral:tRNA from 1 species
AAGAAGGUAAUUUAAUUUAAAAUAUCUUGUUUCAAACUAGACAAUAGAAAAUUCUUCUCCUUCUUG